rnacentral:sRNA from 1 species
UAUUUCUGAGGGUCGGACGGUAUAUUUGAUCGAUAAAUCCGCGGUCACACUGAUCUCAAUUGCGGAACAUAAGGCCGUUUUGAAGCCCAACUGUGGCCCACAACUCCGCCCUGCCUCAGCCAGACCACCAGAUCGGCCAGGUGGAUCUUAGCCGACCAGAUCUUAGCCCGAAUCUGAAGAAAACCAAGCUGGAUGAGGCCUCGACGGCGGGGUUGAUGCAAGCACAUAAACGGAUCAGGGCGUGGUGUCUAUGAUGAGCUUCCAUCUGCGUCGCAAAAAGGGACUGGAACAAACCCUGGCGGCCAAGCUUACACCAAAGGCGUACGUCAAGGAGACUCAUGCCGUGCCCGGGCUGCCGGAGCUGCUGGAUCCUGCAUUCCCAACAAGACACGUCUGGACAGAUUAUGCGCCACUACGGCAGUGCAAGGGCAUCCGCCAGUUGCAGGCUUUGUACGUGUCCCACCUGCACGCGGAUCAUCACAUUGGAUUGAUUGGACUGCUGAAGGAGCGCAGAUAGCUGGCCCCGAAGGAAACUCGCUGCUCUUACUUGCGCCGCGGCAGAUCGAGCCAUGGAUGGAGUUCUAACAAGGAUAGCUCUUGGCGAGACUCCUGACUGGAGAGGCAGUGGCACCAUUGGGCAUAACUGCCGCCACUGCCAAGUCACCAGUAGGAACUGCCAAGCCGCCAGUGCGAACAGCUGCUUAAAAUCUUGCGAGACGCUUGGCGAUGCUGUGGAUGAUCGAGUUCAGCCCAACAAUCAACCUUUGCGGAAUGAGAGGAGCAGCAGCAAGGCAAGAAGGUGAGUUCUGGGUGAAAACUUGUCUCAUUGUCCUAUGCAGGAUGCCGAUCAGGAUUUGUACUAAAACCAGGACAGUUCGGCUAACUCGUCGCAGUCCUCGGUGGGCAUUGAUGACUAUUGGGAUGAGGCUCUGGUCGGCGACUAUGGAAGCACUCAGAAUGAUGACAGCGAUGACUUGGAUGGUCACAACAACUAGCCACCUAUCGAUGGGCAGCAAGGAAAAGAACCCGGCCGUAACGAGUUGCGUUACUAUUGGCGAUCAAGAGAUCAUAGACUGCAAAGAACAAUUCGACAAGCAGCGGCAGGCAACAUUACUUGGGCCGAGCAGGGCAGUAAAUGUAAAAGUUGUUCUGCACUAUCUUAAAAGCGUGCUCCGGCGGUCUUAAGCCUUCUGCACCAUGUUUUACAUCAUCGGUUUCGACCGGAUCCAGUGGCCUAAAAAGUGCUAUAGAGCGAUCCUCUCUUACCCCACCAGGAGGUCACCCCCUCCGGUGGCCAUGAAUACCUUUUGCAUGACCGCGAAUACCGAAUUACCCACCAUCGUUUAACUGGGGCUUCACACUUCAGGUCCUCCGGUUUAGCUGAACGAGUGGGCGCUCGAUGGCGGCUGUCCACUCCAGGCGCCUACCGGCUGACAUCGCGAGCUCCCCACCGGCUCUUGGGACAUGACUUACAUCGCGCGAGCUGUGGCCUCUAGCCUGGACGACCUUUGGGUCCUCUCGGGAUGUGUAAGGGAUGUGCUCCUGGCUGGACUGUGGCAGGCACUGUCUGUCCUCCUGCGGGCCAAAGCCAUGAUGCCACUACUGUGUCGCUGAAUCGACAAUGUGGCGUCCCGUCCGCUGCAGCAGGGACCACUGAUCGACUUCAGAAUUGUGGGUUCACGCCCACGGUAAUCAAACGCUGGUCUUCAGCCUCGAGGCGCAGGGCUUAUGUACCAUAUCCAAGCAUUGCCGAAUCGUAUCCCAGCAGGACAAAAGCGCACCCCUUGGAAGAGCCCAAAUCUAACAAGCCGACGUCACAUUUCGACCUGGCCAUUGAAAACUAUCUCAAGGACUUUGGCUAUGGCAACCAAGGGAGGGAUACGCGGACUACCAGACUAUAGAUAGAUCUCGUUGUUAAUAGGUUUAAGGAUACACACGUCUGUACAUUUAGAUAGUAGAUAUAAAUAUUUCCAAAUUGUUAAUUUCUUUAUAGUAAGUUAACGUUAUUAUGAAUAAAACUAUUGAAAAAUUA